UGGGGAAUAUUGGACAAUGGGCGCAAGCCUGAUCCAGCCAUGCCGCGUGAGUGAUGACGGCCCUAGGGUUGUAAAGCUCUUUUACCUGGGAAGAUAAUGACGGUACCAGGAGAAUAAGCCCCGGCUAACUUCGUGCCAGCAGCCGCGGUAAUACGAAGGGGGCUAGCGUUGUUCGGAUUUACUGGGCGUAAAGCGCACGUAGGCGGACGCUUAAGUCAGGGGUGAAAUCCCGAGGCUCAACCUCGGAACUGCCUUUGAUACUGGGUGUCUUGAGUCCGGGAGAGGUGAGUGGAACUGCGAGUGUAGAGGUGAAAUUCGUAGAUAUUCGCAAGAACACCAGUGGCGAAGGCGGCUCACUGGCCCGGUACUGACGCUGAGGUGCGAAAGCGUGGGGAGCAAAC
rnacentral:rRNA from 1 species